AACAACGGCAGUGCGCUGGUCCAGAACCACCUGUACAUGAUGACCAUUGAGGGCCGGGGCGUCCGCGCCACGGCCGGCACCACCAAGCUGCUGGUCCGGGGCAGCUACACCGUCGCCUGAUCUCCGCAUAAACGGCCCCGCCUGGGCAUAGGUUGUGCCAGGCGGGGCCGUUUGGAGAGGGGGCAGAGCGAUGGACAAGUUUCCACUGAUGCAGGGCUGUUUCUCUGUGGGGGAGCUCAUCACGGAGCAGGAGGCGCUGUACACCUGGUUUGAGCCCACCAAGCCUUCGAUGGAUAGGGGUUCUGAGAGGAAGGUCCCCCACAUUGGAACUGAGACACGGUCCAAACUCCUACGGGAGGCAGCAGUGAGGAAUAUUGGUCAAUGGACGAGAGUCUGAACCAGCCAAGUAGCGUGAAGGAUGACUGCCCUAUGGGUUGUAAACUUCUUUUAUAAAGGAAUAAAGUCGGGUAUGCAUACCCGUUUGCAUGUACUUUAUGAAUAAGGAUCGGCUAACUCCGUGCCAGCAGCCGCGGUAAUACGGAGGAUCCGAGCGUUAUCCGGAUUUAUUGGGUUUAAAGGGAGCGUAGGUGGAUUGUUAAGUCAGUUGUGAAAGUUUGCGGCUCAACCGUAAAAUUGCAGUUGAAACUGGCAGUCUUGAGUACAGUAGAGGUGGGCGGAAUUCGUGGUGUAGCGGUGAAAUGCUUAGAUAUCACGAAGAACUCCGAUUGCGAAGGCAGCUCACUGGACUGCAACUGACACUGAUGCUCGAAAGUGUGGGUAUCAAACAGGAUUAGAUACCCUGGUAGUCCACACAGUAAACGAUGAAUACUCGCUGUUUGCGAUAUACAGUAAGCGGUACAAAAGAAACAACAAGAAUUAUUGCAACCGAUCCAACAGAAGUUGCACGAGGCUAUCCAGAAGGUAGGCGAGGAGAAGGGAUAUACGUAUAUCAUCGAUCCGGCAGCUUUGCUUUAUACGGGUACUAACGCAGUAGACGCAACUCCGUUUGUUCGUACGAAACUCGGUUUGUAAUUAGCGAGAAAAUUUAUUCUAUAGAAUAAAAGAGGGGGUGUUUUCCGAAAGGAUUGCACCCUUUGUACUUUAUAAAAGAAGGUUUCUGAUAUGUUUCCACAAACUCCCGGUCCGAUCGGUCUUUUUGAUUCAGGUUAUGGCGGACUUACGAUUUUCGAUAAGAUCCAUCAGUUGAUGCCCGGUUAUGAUUACGUUUAUCUGGGCGAUAACGCACGUUCUCCUUAUGGAACCCGUUCGUUCGAGGUUGUUUAUCAAUUUACCCGUCAGGCGGUAUCGCGCUUGUUU
rnacentral:rRNA from 1 species